rnacentral:lncRNA from 1 species
UAAACUUCAUCUUUUUUUUUUUUUCCAACUUUUCAUCAUUGACAUUGACAAGAUUUUUGUACAAUUUCUUCCAUUGGGUGAAAUCUCAUUUAAUUAGGACAUGUAGAGAAUUUGAAAUUAUCUUUAGGGGUAAAUAUAUCUUAAAUUGACAUUCUUACAAUGUAAAAAAAAAAAAAAAAAAAAAAAAAAAAAAAAAAAAAAAAAAAAAAAAAAAAAAAAAAAAAAAAAAAAAAAAAAAAAAAAAAAAAAAAAGUGA